AAGCGCGAAGCGAGCCCUGAGAUGAGUCUUCCCUGACAGUUUAACUGUCCUAAAGGGUUGUUCGAGACUAGAACGUUGAUAGGCAGGGUGUGUAAGCGUUGUGAGGCGUUGAGCUAACCUGUACUAAUUGCCCGUGAGGCUUAACCAUACAACACCCAAGGGGUUUUGUA
rnacentral:rRNA from 1 species